GAUGAAGAACGUAGCGAAAUGCGAUAAGUAAUGUGAAUUGCAGAAUUCAGUGAAUCAUCGAAUCUUUGAACGCACAUUGUGCCCGCCAGUAUUCUGGCGGGCAUGCCUGUUCGAGCGUCAUUUCAACCCUCAAGCCCUCGGGUUUGGUGUUGGGGAUCGGCGAGCCUUUCUGGCAAGCCGGCCCCGAAAUCUAGUGGCGGUCUCGCUGCAGCCUCCAUUGCGUAGUAGUAAAACCCUCGCAACUGGAACGCGGCGCGGCCAAGCCGUUAAACCCCCAACUUCUGAAUGUUGACCUCGGAUCAGGUAGAAAUACCCGCUGAACUUAAGCAUAUCAAUAAGCGGAGGA
rnacentral:misc_RNA from 1 species